ACCUUCAAUUCGCUGGCCUCUCAACUAUAAGGAAUCAAUGCGUGUCAUUUAUAAGCCACCCAGUUUAUAGUGUUUUUAUUAAUGUAGCCCAAGUGGACUCACACUUAGAUUUAAUCAAGUCCUGAUGAGGUCAUUGGGGUGGACCCUCGUCUACUACGACCGGUGUCCUUUUAAAAGGAGGCAGUUGGAUGCACACAGACACACACAGAGGGAAGACUGUGGAGAGGUGCAGCAGGUCCAGUGGCCUGUGAAGACCAGUGUUGCUGCCACGGCCAGGUCACACGUGGGCAGCAGAAGCCAGAAGAGACAGGAAGUCCCAGUGCCUGCAGCAUCAGAGGCGGUGCAGCCCAUUGAGACGGGCAUUGCAGAGAGCAGGGCCCCAGGACUGGGACAGAAUCCUGCUGUUCUAAGCCACAUGGCUCUGGGUGCCUUGUCAGGACAGCCCUGGGAACCAAGCAUGGGCCUGUGUCAUCUCCUGGCUCUCUCUAUCCUGUAA
rnacentral:lncRNA from 1 species